AGUGCUGAUGCCACCGGGCACCGACUGCCGCUCAUCGUCAAUCAAUAAUCUAUAUAGGCGAGCCGCGAGUGGCGACCCCGCCCGCUGCCACUAUGCACACGUCAUCCGGCUGUCCUUGAGCUCGGCACAACUGAACAGCUGAUUCGCCGCUCCACAGCAGUCGAAUAACUGGACAAGCAUUAUUAUUACGGCGCAGUUGUUUUGUACUUUGGUCUUAGGCGUGUUGGUGUCCGUACUCCGUACGCCUUAGUCGUCGUUUUGUAAACAUUGCGUAUGCACUGCUGCGCUUUGAUUGUGUAAUUUUUUGUUUAUUGCAUUUCGGCUUUACAUCGUACGUGUCGUGUUGUCGUCAAAUUACCAACAGUGAAUAUACAGUAGCCCGUUUUUGCCCAAAUUCUAGUAUUGAAACCCCAAUUCCGGUCGGAAGCCUUUGAAAUGUCCGACGGCGAAGGAUCGGCGCAAACGGCCACUGUGGAAACGGGCCAAGUGGAACUGGAACAACAGCAGACCACGGUGAUCACCACCAAGGAGGAUGACGGUGAGCCAAAUCCGAAAAAGCUGAAACUGUCCGGUGGCGGAACGGACGGCAGACAGCAGCAGCAGCAGACGGUGUCGGACAAGUUGGAACACAGGCUGGGAGGCAUACUAUGCUGUGCCGUGUGCUUGGAUCUGCCCAGAUCAGCCAUUUAUCAGUGUACAAAUGGUCAUUUAAUGUGUGCUGGUUGCUUUGCUCACUUAUUAGCCGAUGCACGAUUACGCGAUGAAAUGGCAACAUGUCCCAAUUGUAGAGUUGAUAUUGCCAAAAAUACAGCAACCCGUAAUUUGGCUGUUGAAAAAGCAGUCAGUGAGCUACCUGCCGAAUGUCAGUUCUGCGCUAAAGAAUUCCCACGUAACUCUUUACAACAUCACGAACAACAACUUUGCUCCGAGCGCCCGGUAAAAUGUGGCUACAGUAAAAUAGGCUGUCCGUGGAGGGGCCCAAGUCACGAAGCUUCUGAACACGGAAAGGUUUGUCCACAUCCAUCGGCCACUGGCAAAGAUGUUAUGUCUGCCCUGGAAGCAAUAGAUCAAAAGUUUCAAGAAGAAAAACUCUUGUAUGACACUAUAUUCGAUUUAAUGAGUUUCGAAAAGAUCACAUUUAAUGAUUUGCAGUUAAAACCUUACAGAACAGAAGAGUUUGUACACAAAUUGUACUAUGAAACUGCAAGAUUUUCAGCAUUCAACUUCCAGUGGGUUGUGAAAACUCGUAUUAACAAUAUGCAAAGAGAUCCAGCGCUUAGUGUUGAUCGUCAUAUGUCUUACCAGGUAAAUGAUGCAUGGUAACUGUAGAAUCGAAAAUGUGUAUUAUUCAUAAAUAUUUACAAAAUUGUGUUGCUGUAUUUAUUGUAAUGUUUGUAAUAACUGUAAUUUUUUAAUUUAUUUAUUUUGUAGUGAAAACUGGUAAGUUAUAUUAGUUUUAAGACCCGAAAAGAACACAAAUACUAUAUAAUUACAUUUUACCCACUUAUAUAAACACAAAUGCGUAAAACUCAACCACAAAUAUCCAUGUGCGUGUCCGUCCUUUUUAGCGUUAGGUCACAACUCGACUUUGGAUACCGCUCAACACCAUAUUAUUAUAUAAAGGACUCUCGACUAAUAACCGCUGUGAGAGCAAUUGGGAUAAUCAUAUAACAGAAAGCCGAUGGAACAAGAUUUUUUCUAAUAUAAUAUUAAAUGUACACCGAUGCCAAGAGCGAACAUCACAAUACUUCUGCGACUUCAUGACACAUAAUACCAUAUUACUGCCGAAGAGAUAACAACGGAUGAAACAUCAUCAAAUCACCCAAUUUGGAUUGAACCAAUGGAUUUUUUUGUAUAAACAUUUUUGUUUUUUUCCACGUUUCUAAAGUAAAAACUUUAUGGAUUCUUUUUAUUAUUCUUGCUAGGUUAUGUUUUUAUAAUAUUGUAUAUUACAAACUUUUUAAAAAUCAAUUCAUGUAAUAAUAAAUAAUAUUUAUGGGUAAGCUUUGGUAAGUCAUUGUUCGCUAUGAUAUGCUUUUAUUUUCAUUUUUCUGUUGAUCGGUAAGUCUUGCUAUAACUUAAAAGCAUUGAUAAUAAUUUGGGUUGAGUUUUUGUUUUCAGGUGCGCUCGGACUAAUAUAAUGUAUAAUAUUUUAUUAUUAAUACUUACAGGAUUAUUUUAUAGGUCUUUACUCUAUUAUUUUACUAUCUCAAAAAUACUAAUAGUAAUUUUUUUGUUUUUUUUAUUCAUUCCUCUGUUUCCUUUGCACUUUGAAUUGCGUCAUCACUGUGCCCAUGUCCAAUCAACAGCUAAUACUGAAAACAAAGACAGCUACACCCAUGACCGUCCAUUAUCUAGUGGUUAAAGGACCGUUUGGAGAUAUGAAGGUGAACCCAAAAAUUUAUAAGUUUGAGUUCAACGA